CAUCAGGUUGAAACACCGGUUCCUGUAUGAUCAUUGAAGUUAAGCAACAUCGAGCUUAGUCAGGACCUAGAUGGGUGACCGCUUGGGAAUACCAAGUGCUGUAA